AUCUCCCAACACCUAGAGGCUGCCUUUGUUCCCUUUCGUGGUAGCCUUUGUAUUUCUCUAGUUUUCUACUGGACCACAUGUUUAUUGAUCGCGAGUAUUCAUAGUUUUCGCAGCGGAACUUUUAUACUCCGGACAAAAUGCAAUAGACAAUCCUCAACAGCGAUGACUCGCCGUCACUUGUACGAGAUUUCGAGACUUACGAGGGAUGGCGCUGACCCAGGCAAUCAAGGCGAUUAGGACUACGAUACGCUUCAUGAUGGCGCACCUAAAAAACCACAAAGAAACAGAUCCCUGAAAGAGAAUAUAGGUAGAAAUAGCAACGUGCGAAAAAAGUUUUUUUUAAAUAAAGUACAUUUAGUAAUUAAUCUUUGUUGUCGAUUGUUUUCCAAAUAUUGUGGUACCAGAGCAUAUCGCACGCUAGGGACCAGAAGGUCACAAGCAACCCGAGCCCACCAAACAAUAGUUCUGAAUACAAACAAACAGCACUUGAAAUGAAGUCAUUUAAUAGCAAAAGCAAUGCUGACGACAUACCGACUUUUGCACAGAUGGCUUGUGCUUUUGUUGUUCGGUCGUUUUAUAUCCUCGGCCGGUUUAAGAAAUAAAGACAUCUCGAUCC